CGGGUGAGUAACACGUGGAUAACUUACCUAUAAGACUGGGAUAACUUCGGGAAACCGGAGCUAAUACCGGAUAAUAUAUUGAACCGCAUGGUUCAAUAGUGAAAGACGGUUUUGCUGUCACUUAUAGAUGGAUCCGCGCCGCAUUAGCUAGUUGGUAAGGUAACGGCUUACCAAGGCAACGAUGCGUAGCCGACCUGAGAGGGUGAUCGGCCACACUGGAACUGAGACACGGUCCAGACUCCUACGGGAGGCAGCAGUG
rnacentral:rRNA from 1 species